rnacentral:pre_miRNA from 1 species
CGCUCGUACUAGUUUUACACUAUUCAUCCUAUUUCGUCUUAUUUAAAAUUUUUUUAUAAUUACUAUUUUUAUUAUUAUUAGAUGAUAAAAACAUGAAUAAUAUUUUAUGUAUGACUAAUUUUUUUAAAAUUUUUCAUAAAUUUUUUAAAUAAAAUGAAAAGUUAAACAUUGGACACGGAUUUUCACGGCUACAUUUAUU